UGAGGAAUAUUGCACAAUGGGCGCAUGCCUGAUGCAGCAACGCCGCGUGUGGGAUGAAGAGGGUUUUCCCCUUGUAAACCACUGUUGGGAGGGAAGAAAAGCGUUUUAGAAGCGCUGAGACUGUACCUCCAAAGAAAGGAUCGGCUAACUACGUGCCAGCAGCCGCGGUAAUACGUAGGAUCCAAGCGUUGUCCGGAUUUACUGGGUGUAAAGGGUGCGUAGGCGGGCUUUUGCGUCAGAGGUUAAAUACUACGGCUUAACCGUAGAACUGCCUUUGAAACGGGAAGUCUUGAGUGCGAGAGAGGAUGGUGGAAUUCCUGGUGUAGCGGUGAAAUGCGUAGAUAUCAGGAGGAACACCGGUGGCGAAGGCGACUUUCUGGCCCUAUACUGACGCUGAGACGCGAGAGCGUGGGUAGCAAACAGG
rnacentral:rRNA from 1 species